rnacentral:misc_RNA from 1 species
CAUUGCGAAAAGUCAUGCGACCUGCACACUUUGAGAAGCAUUACUCUUUGAACGCACCUUGCACGUGGAGGUUACUCUACGAGGUCCUGUUUGAGCAAGAUAACGAAAGUGACACAUGAUCAUUUCACACUCGAGAUGAUUCAAAAACAUGCGGUUAGCCUGAACGACUCUAGGGCAAAGGAUUAGAACGUAGCUGGUUCUUCAGUGCGACAAGUAACACUGCAACACCAACAAACCCUAACCACACUGCAAGACCAUGCUCUGUUACUCAACCAGCAAAGCAUAACUAACCCUUACACUUCUCAAAUCAGGAUAGAGGACCCGCUGAACUUAA